ACCCUGCAAAUAUCUAGUCAAAACCUAAUGUAACAGUUUUAAAAGAAGUCAGGUUCCUAACUUCCUUAGAACUUGCUGAACUGUUUCUCUUUUGGUGGGAAGCAUAGAACUACCCUGUCCUUUAUUUUCUCAUUUCCUGGUGAUUAUCAGACUUAUGGCAGUAAGGAGCAUUAUUCAUAAUGAUGAUACAGGUGAUUACACCUUUGUGCUGACUAAAUUUAUUUUCUGGAGCUUCUCGGACACUUUGAAGAUUGAAAUGCCUUUUUUCCCCUUUUGGGUUGGGGUUUUUUAUGCUGACAAUUCCUUAUUGGAGACACUCCAUAUUUUCUAAUUAUUCUGAUUCGUACUGACAACUAUAACUUCUAAUCAUUGUUGUUUUCUAAAGCUUGGUUUCUUUUGUGUCUGUGUCUAUGUACUUCCAUUGUUGACUAUGAAUAUUACAUGUCUUUGAAUAAUUAUGAUUUUUCACAUCAUAACGAGGAAUCUCUUAAAUGAGCCAUGCUCUUUGAAUAGGGAUAAAAUAUGUUGUUUUCAGUUCUUCACACUUUAUGGGCCUUAUUUUACUUAUAUGAUAGCCUCUUUUCAUAUGCGUUGCAAUUACCUUUUUUAUUACAUCUAUUAGUGAGUAUGCACCGGGUAUGUUGUUGUUGUUGUUGUUGUUGUUGUUGUUGUUGUUGUUAGUGUGUAUGCAUCUAGAAAGCAAGCUGAAGAGCUAGAUAUAGAACCUUGGUGACAUGUCUUGACUCAAGACUGUUAAUUCUUGAUUGUCGUACUCGUACUGGAGCCAAUUUGCACAACUACUAAGAAGUCAAACUAGUGAACUCUCAAAGAAGUCACUCUAUGCAACUUGGUACGUCAAGAUAAAACUAAGUGGCUGGGGAAGGAAGAAGAGAUGGUGGAGGGCUAUACCAGCAUGCAUUUGGUGGAAUGUCUGGAAGGAAAGAUAAAACCAAGUAUGUUGUGGCAGAAAGCUUACAAACUAGAAAUAACAAGCAGCCCGAAAUUAGUGGAAAGUUAUUAGGAGACCUUUUAAAGAACUUCAAUACUCUGGUAAUUUUCAAAGUGCAAACUUAAAAUCUGAAGGCGUGAUCUGCUACUGCAAUUUGAUUAGGUCAUGAAAUUUUUGCAAGUGUUGCAACCGUAAUGGUCAUGAAAUUUUUGCAAGUGUUGCAACCGUAAUGUGUCACGCGGACAAAAUAGCUGCAAGCUUUUCAACUAACAUUGUUGUUGAGGGACUCGUUCCUAGAAUGUUGUGGAUAAGAGUUAGUAUGAACAGUAAUAGUUGCGCAGUGCUUAUGCUUUCCUAUUUGUAGAGAGAGAGAG